UAUCUCUCUCUCUCUCUCUCUCUCUCUCUCUCUCUCUCUCUAUGUUUGUAAUCCCUGCCGCUCAUCUUUGAAUAAAAGCUUUCUUCUCCUCGCAGGUCUAAUGAAGUUGCAACACUUAAGUCUGCAAAGUUUCAAUGGAGAAGGCGAUAGAACUACUGGAGGCACAACCACAAAUAAUUUGGUUUAUUAUAUUAUAGUUUCAGUUGUUCAACUUUACAAUGAACUAAAGGAGUGGAAUCAAGAGAAAUUGAAGCAUCACACCCCUAAAAUAAACAAUGCAGAUAAAGCAAAUGACAUCACAAUAUGUCUUUCUUUGUAUCCUCUCUAGGGUCUUUCUAUGAUACCAACUGUAAUCUCUAUUUUAAGUAGUCUCAAAAAAAAAAUAUAACCAACUACCUAGCAUUGUGUGCAAGGUGCAACAGUUGGUAGCUUUGUGGAAUUAGUUUUGUGGAUUGUUAAAGCAAGCAGACAUAAAUUGUCCUAUUAAUUUAGGAUGAUAAAAAACAAAUGCUUCAUAUAUAUGAUGACUUACUAUAAUAAACAAUCAUGAAAAUGCA